CCUACGGGUGGCAGCAGUGAGGAAUAUUGGGCAAUGGACGCAAGUCUGACCCAGCCAAGUAGCGUGAAGGAAGACUGCCCUCUGGGUUUUAAACUUCUUCUAUAUGGGAAUAAAACGUUCCACGUGUGGGAUUUUUUAUUUACGUUAAGAAUAAGGGUAGGCUAACUCCGUGCCAGCAGCCGCGGCACUACGGAGGGUCCGAGCGUUACCCGGAUUUAUUGGGUGUAAAGGGAGCGUAGGUGGGUUGUUAAGUCAGUUGUGAAAUGUUGCGGCUCAACCGUAAAAUUGCAGUUGAAACUGGCAGGCUUGAGUACAGUAGAGGUGGGCGGAAUUCGUGGUGUAGCGGUGAAAUGCUUAGAUAUCACGAAGAACUCCGAUUGCGAAGGCAGUUCACUGGACUGCAACUGACACUGAGGCUCGAAAGUGUGGGUAUCAAACAGGAUUAGAUACCCCUGUAGUC
rnacentral:rRNA from 1 species